AUUGAACGCUGGCGGCAUGCCUUACACAUGCAAGUCGAACGGUAACAGGUCUUCGGAUGCUGACGAGUGGCGAACGGGUGAGUAGUACAUCGGAACGUGCCUAGUAGUGGGGGAUAACUACUCGAAAGAGUGGCUAAUACCGCAUGAGGUCUACGGAUGAAAGCAGGGGAUCGCAAGACCCUGUGCUACUAGAGCGGCCGAUGGCAGAUUAGGUAGUUGGUGGGAUAAAAGCUUACCAAGCCGACGAUCUGUAGCUGGUCUGAGAGGACGAUCAGCCACACUGGGACUGAGACACGGCCCAGACUCCUACGGGAGGCAGCAGUGGGGAAUUUUGGACAAUGGGCGCAAGCCUGAUCCAGCAAUGCCGCGUGCAGGAUGGAGGCCUUCGGGUUGUAAACUGCUUUUGUACGGAACGAAAAGCCCUGGGUUAAUACCCUGGGGUCAUGACGGUACCGUAAGAAUAAGCACCGGCUAACUACGUGCCAGCCGCCGCGGUAACAC
rnacentral:rRNA from 1 species